rnacentral:rRNA from 1 species
GGGGAAUAUUGGACAAUGGGCGCAAGCCUGAUCCAGCCAUACCGCGUGGGUGAAGAAGGCCUUCGGGUUGUAAAGCCCUUUUGUUGGGAAAGAAAUCCAGCCGGCUAAUACCUGGUGGGGAUGACGGUACCCAAAGAAUAAGCACCGGCUAACUUCGUGCCAGCAGCCGCGGUAAUACGAAGGGUGCAAGCGUUAUUCGGAAUUACUGGGCGUAAAGCGUGCGUAGGUGGUCGUUUAAGUCCGUUGUGAAAGCCCUGGGCUCAACCUGGGAACUGCAGUGGAUACUGGGCGACUAGAGUGUGGUAGAGGGUAGCGGAAUUCCGAGUGUAGAGGUGAAAUUCGUAGAUAUUCGGAGGAACACCAGUGGCGAAGGCGGCUCACUGGACCAUUACUGACGCUGAGGUGCGAAAGCAUGGGGAGCAAACA